GAGUUUGAUUCUGGCUCAGAUUGAACGCUGGCGGCAUGCUUUACACAUGCAAGUCGAACGGCAGCACAGGGAGCUUGCUCCUGGGUGGCGAGUGGCGAACGGGUGAGUAAUGUAUCGGAACGUGCCUGGUAGUGGGGGAUAACCACUCGAAAGAGUGGCUAAUACCGCAUGAGAUCUCUGGAUGAAAGCGGGGGACCUUUGGGCCUCGCGCUACUGGAGCGGCCGAUAUCAGAUUAGGUUGUUGGUGGGGUAAAGGCCUACCAAGCCUGCGAUCUGUAGCUGGUCUGAGAGGACGACCAGCCACACUGGGAGUGAGACACGGCCCAGACUCCUACGGGAGGCAGCAGUGGGGAAUUUUGGACAAUGGGCGCAAGCCUGAUCCAGCAAUGCCGCGUGCAGGACGAAGGCCUUCGGGUUGUAAACUG
rnacentral:rRNA from 1 species